rnacentral:rRNA from 1 species
GACGAACGCUGGCGGCGUGCUUAACACAUGCAAGUCGAACGGAAAGGCCCCUUUGGGGGUACUCGAGUGGCGAACGGGUGAGUAACACGUGAGUAACCUGCCCUUGCCUUCGGGAUAACUUCAGGAACCUGGGGCUAAUACCGGUAAGGAAUCCUUUCUUCAUGGUGGGGGUUGGAAAGCUUCGGCGGUUUUGGUUGGCGUCGUGGCUUAUCAGCUUGUUGGUGGGGCAGUGGCUUACCAAGGGUUUGACGGGUAGCCGGCCUGAGAGGGCGACCGGCCACAUUGGGACUGAGAUACGGCCCAGACUCCGACGGGAGGCAGCAGUGGGGAAUAUUGCACAAUGGGCGGAAGCCUGAUGCAGCAACGCCGCGUGCGGGAUGACGGCCUUCGGGUUGGAAACCGCUUUCAGCAGGGGCGAAGCUUGUGGUGACGGUACCUGCAGAAGAAGCACCGGCUAACUACGUG